rnacentral:misc_RNA from 1 species
UACGUAGGUUGCGAGCGUUGUCCGGAUUUACUGGGUGUAAAGCGCGCGCAGGCGGUCUCGAAAGUCUACGGUGAAAGCUCCCGGCCCAACUGGGAGAGGCCCGCGGAAACUUCGAGACUUGAAGGCGGGAGAGGCAAAUGGAAUUUCCGGUGUAGCGGUAAAAUGCGUAGAUACCGGAAGGAACACCAGUGGCGAAGGCGAUUUGCUGGCCCGCCCUUGACGCUCAGGCGCGAAAGCUAGGGGAGCGACCGGG